AUUGAACGCUGGCGGCAUGCUUUACACACGCAAGUCGAACGGUAACAGGCCGCAAGGUGCUGACGAGUGGCGAACGGGUGAGUAAUGCAUCGGAACGUGCCCAGUCGUGGGGGAUAACGCAGCGAAAGCUGUGCUAAUACCGCAUACGAUCUGUGGAUGAAAGCGGGGGACCUUCGGGCCUCGCGCGCUUGGAGCGGCCGAUGUCAGAUUAGGUAGUUGGUGGGGUAAAGACUCCCCAAGCCAACGAUCUGUAGCUGGUCUGAGAGGACGACCAGCCACAGUGGGACUGAGACACGGCCCAGACUCCUACGGGAGGCAGCAGUGGGGAAUUUUGGACAAUGGGCGCAAGCCUGAUCCGGCAACGCCGCGUGCAGGAAGAAGGCCUUCGGGUUGUAAACUGCUUUUGUACGGAGCGAAAAGGCUCCCUCUAAUACAGGGGGCUCAUGACGGUACCGUAAGAAUAAGCACCGGCUAACUACGUGCCAGCCGCCGCCGUAAAAC
rnacentral:rRNA from 1 species